AGGGUUCGAUUCUGGCUCAGGAUGAACGCUAGCGACAGGCUUAACACAUGCAAGUCGAGGGGCAGCAUAAAAGUAGCAAUACUUGGUGGCGACCGGCGCACGGGUGAGUAACGCGUAUGCAACCUACCUAUCAGGAGGGGAAUAACCCGGCGAAAGUCGGACUAAUACCGCAUAAAACAGGGGCACCGCAUGGUGAUAUUUGUUAAAGAAAUUCGCUGAUAGAUGGGCAUGCGUUCCAUUAGGUAGUUGGUGAGGUAACGGCUCACCAAGCCGACGAUGGAUAGGGGAACUGAGAGGUUGGUCCCCCACACUGGUACUGAGACACGGACCAGACUCCUACGGGAGGCAGCAGUGAGGAAUAUUGGUCAAUGGGCGAGAGCCUGAACCAGCCAAGUCGCGUGAAGGAAGAAGGAUCUAUGGUUCGUAAACUUCUUUUGCAGGGGAAUAAAGUGCAGGACGUGUCCUGUUUUGUAUGUACCCUGAGAAUAAGGAUCGGCUAACUCCGUGCCAGCCGCGGC
rnacentral:rRNA from 1 species